rnacentral:rRNA from 1 species
GCUUAACACAUGCAAGUCGAGGGGCAUCAGGAAGAAAGCUUGCUUUCUUUGCUGGCGACCGGCGCACGGGUGAGUAACACGUAUCCAACCUGCCCUUUACUCGGGGAUAGCCUUUCGAAAGAAAGAUUAAUACCCGAUAGCAUAAUGAUUCCGCAUGGUUUCAUUAUUAAAGGAUUCCGGUAAAGGAUGGGGAUGCGUUCCAUUAGGUUGUUGGUGAGGUAACGGCCCACCAAGCCUUCGAUGGAUAGGGGUUCUGAGAGGAAGGUCCCCCACAUUGGAACUGAGACACGGUCCAAACUCCUACGGGAGGCAGCAGUGAGGAAUAUUGGUCAAUGGGCGCUAGCCUGAACCAGCCAAGUAGCGUGAAGGAUGAAGGCUCUAUGGGUCGUAAACUUCUUUUAUAUAAGAAUAAAGUGCAGUAUGUAUACUGUUUUGUAUGUAUUAUAUGAAUAAGGAUCGGCUAACUCCGUGCCAGCAGCCGCGGUAAUACGGAGGAUCCGAGCGUUAUCCGGAUUUAUUGGGUUUAAAGGGAGCGUAGGUGGACUGGUAAGUCAGUUGUGAAAGUUUGCGGCUCAACCGUAAAAUUGCAGUUGAUACUGUCAGUCUUGAGUACAGUAGAGGUGGGCGGAAUUCGUGGUGUAGCGGUGAAAUGCUUAGAUAUCACGAAGAACUCCGAUUGCGAAGGCAGCUCACUGGACUGCAACUGACACUGAUGCUCGAAAGUGUGGGUAUCAAACAGGAUUAGAUACCCUGGUAGUCCACACAGUAAACGAUGAAUACUCGCUGUUUGCGAUAUACAGUAAGCGGCCAAGCGAAAGCAUUAAGUAUUCCACCUGGGGAGUACGCCGGCAACGGUGAAACUCAAAGGAAUUGACGGGGGCCCGCACAAGCGGAGGAACAUGUGGUUUAAUUCGAUGAUACGCGAGGAACCUUACCCGGGCUUAAAUUGCAGUGGAAUGAUGUGGAAACAUGUCAGUGAGCAAUCACCGCUGUGAAGGUGCUGCAUGGUUGUCGUCAGCUCGUGCCGUGAGGUGUCGGCUUAAGUGCCAUAACGAGCGCAACCCUUAUCUUUAGUUACUAACAGGUUAUGCUGAGGACUCUAGAGAGACUGCCGUCGUAAGAUGUGAGGAAGGUGGGGAUGACGUCAAAUCAGCACGGCCCUUACGUCCGGGGCUACACACGUGUUACAAUGGGGGGUACAGAAGGCAGCUAGCGGGUGACCGUAUGCUAAUCCCAAAAUCCUCUCUCAGUUCGGAUCGAAGUCUGCAACCCGACUUCGUGAAGCUGGAUUCGCUAGUAAUCGCGCAUCAGCCACGGCGCGGUGAAUACGUUCCCGGGCCUUGUACACACCGCCCGUCAAGCCAUGGGAGCCGGGGGUACCUGAAGUACGUAACCGCAAGGAUCGUCCUAGGGUAAAACUGGUGACUGGGGCUAAGUCGUA